rnacentral:rRNA from 1 species
CUUAAAUUGAAGAGUUUGAUCAUGGCUCAGAUUGAACGCUGGCGGCAGGCCUAACACAUGCAAGUCGAGCGGAAACGAGUUAUCUGAACCUUCGGGGAACGAUAGCGGCGUCGAGCGGCGGACGGGUG